rnacentral:rRNA from 1 species
AUUGAACGCUGGCGGCAGGCCUAACACAUGCAAGUCGAGCGAGCGGCGGACGGGUGAGUAAUGUCUGGGAAACUGCCUGAUGGAGGGGGAUAACUACUGGAAACGGUAGCUAAUACCGCAUACCAUCAGAUGUGCCCAGAUGGGAUUAGCUAGUAGGUGGGGUAAUGGCUCACCUAGGCGACGAUCCCUAGCUGGUCUGAGAGGAUGACCAGCCACACGUGAACUGAGACACGGUCCAGACUUCUACGGAAGGCAGCAUUGGGGAAUAUUGCACAAGGGGCGCAAUCCUGAGGCAGCCAUGCCGCGUGUGUAAAGGAGGCCUUCGGGUUGUAAAGCACUUUCAGCGGAGAGGCGUUACCCGCAGAAGAAGCACCGUCUAACUCCGUGCCAGCCGCCGCGGUAAUAC